AUGUUAUGAUGUGGACACUUCCUAAGUAAUUCAUUGAAUCUUUCCCAUGCCUCAUGUAAUGUUUCCCCAUCCUCGUGUGAAAACUCUCGAAUUGAGGUUCUUAUGAC